rnacentral:rRNA from 1 species
GUAGUCUCGCACAGAUGCAUAUCAAUAAGCGGAGGAAAAGAAACUAACAAGGAUUCCCCUAGUAACGGCGAGUGAAGCGGGAAGAGCUCAAAUUUGAAAUCUUAAAGGGUUUCCCUUUACGAAUUGUAGUUUAAAGAAGUGUUUUCUGUUGAGGUUUUGGUAAAAGUUCUUUGGAAUAGGACAUCAUAGAGGGUGAGAAUCCCGUAUUUGACCUUUACUUUCAACUUUGUGAUACACUUUCAAAGAGUCGGAUUGUUUGGGAAUGCAGUCCAAAAUGGGUGGUAAAUUUCAUCUAGAGCUAAAUAUUGGCGAGAGACCGAUAGCGAACAAGUACCGUGAGGGAAAGAUGAAAAGAACUUUGAAAAGAGAGUUAAACAGUACGUGAAAUUGUCAAAAGGGAAGCGUUUGACACCAGUGUUGUUUUUCUGAAAAUCAAUUAAAGAACUGUUUAUGCUAAGUUGUUUCAGACUUUAUCAGCUAUCUGUUUAGUUUUGAGCUUUUCUUUAAUGCACUUUUCAGUUAACAAGUCAACAUCAAUUUCUUUUGCUGUAAAAAAGCUUGAGGAAGGUGGCUUGAGAUUCGUCUUAGGUGUUUAUAGCCUCUUGCCUAUGCAGUCGGAGAGAUUGAGGUCUGCAGCGUAGAUCCUUCGGGGCUAAAUGCAUUUGUGCUAAGUUAUAGCAUUUUAUAGACAACUUGUUGACUAUGAUUUGUCUUGUAGCUUACUCGCUUAUGUUAUUUUACCUACGCUUAGGAUGUUGACAGCAGUAUAGACUGU